AUUGAACGCUGGCGGCAUGCCUUACACAUGCAAGUCGAACGGCAGCACGGGUGCUUGCACCUGGUGGCGAGUGGCGAACGGGUGAGUAAUAUAUCGGAACGUACCUUAUUGUGGGGGAUAACGCAGCGAAAGCUGUGCUAAUACCGCAUAAUCCCUUAGGGGGAAAGCGGGGGACCGUAAGGCCUCGCGCGAUUAGAGCGGCCGAUAUCUGAUUAGCUUGUUGGUGGGGUAAAAGCCCACCAAGGCGACGAUCAGUAGCUGGUCUGAGAGGACGAUCAGCCACACUGGGACUGAGACACGGCCCAGACUCCUACGGGAGGCAGCAGUGGGGAAUUUUGGACAAUGGGGGGCAACCCUGAUCCAGCCAUGCCGCGUGCGGGAAGAAGGCCUCGGUUGUAACCGCUUUGGUCAGGAACGAAACGGUGCGGGCGAAGUAACCUGUGCUAAUGACGGUACCUGCAGAAUAAGCACCGGCUAACUACGUG
rnacentral:rRNA from 1 species